GGAAAGAAACCAACAGGGAUUGCCUCAGUAACGGCGAGUGAAGCGGCAACAGCUCAAAUUUGAAAUCUGGCCUCCUCGGGGUCCGAGUUGUAAUUUGUAGAGGGUGUUUCGGGCGACGCGCCGGCCUAAGUUCCUUGGAACAGGACGUCAUAGAGGGUGAGAAUCCCGUAUGCGGCCGGCGACCGAGUUCAUGUGAAACCCCUUCGACGAGUCGAGUUGUUUGGGAAUGCAGCUCUAAAUGGGUGGUAAAUUUCAUCUAAAGCUAAAUACCGGCCAGAGACCGAUAGCGCACAAGUAGAGUGAUCGAAAGAUGAAAAGCACUUUGGAAAGAGAGUUAAAAAGUACGUGAAAUUGUUGAAAGGGAAGCGCUUGCAACCAGACCUGUGUUCGGGUGAUCAACCGUCCUGUAAGGGCGGUGCACUCGCCCGCGACAGGCCAGCAUCGGUUCGGGCGGCUGGAUAAAGGCCUUGGGAACGUAGCUCCCCUCGGGGAGUGUUAUAGCCCAAGGUGCAAUGCGGCCAGCCUGGACCGAGGACCGCGCUUCGGCUAGGAUGCUGGCGUAAUGGUUGUAAGCGGCCCGUCUUGAAACACGGACCAAGGAGUCUAACAUCUAUGCGAGUGUUUGGGUGUCAAACCCAUGCGCGUAAUGAAAGUGAACGGAGGUGAGAACCCUGAAGGGCGCAUCAUCGACCGAUCCAGAUGUCUUCGGAUGGAUUUGAGUAAGAGCAUAGCUGUUGGGACCCGAAAGAUGGUGAACUAUGCCUGAAUAGGGUGAAGCCAGAGGAAACUCUGGUGGAGGCUCGCAGCGGUUCUGACGUGCAAAUCGAUCGUCAAAUUUGGGUAUA
rnacentral:rRNA from 1 species